UCCACGCCGUAAACUAUGAUUACUCGUUGUCGGCGAUACACAGUCGGUGGCUAAGCGAAAGCGAUAAGUAAUCCACCUGGGGAGUACGAUCGCAAGGUUGAAACUCAAAGGAAUUGACGGGGGCCCGCACAAGCGGAGGAGCAUGUGGUUUAAUUCGAUGAUACGCGAGGAACCUUACCUGGUCUUGACAUGUAGGAAGUAGAAACCUGAAAGGGUGACCACCGGUAUCCAGU
rnacentral:rRNA from 1 species